GAUGAUGGAAAAGCAAAUCCAACACAACCCUCCAGCAUCUGGCCUUUCAAACACAGGGCAACAUCAUGGAGAGAAAAAUAAAUUAAAUAUUGACCAGGAUCUCUGUGUUUUAUCUGAGGAUGACUAUGGUAGCCUUCUCACUGUUCACUGUCACAAAGCUCCAGACUCUGUCCACCUUCUCACUACGUUGAUCAGCUCCUCUGGGUGAUGGCAGAGAGGACUCUUCAUCUGGGAGAGCUGCUGGUGUAAGGUCAUUUCUACCACAGUGGAUGAGCAGGGCGUCUGGCACAGGUGAAAGAAGGAGGAGGUUCCUUCAGACUAUGUGACCCCAGCCUGACCUCUGUAACAGGUGUGCAGACAAAGGUUGAAAUUAGUCAUUUUUAGGUUCUGUUGAUUGUAAAAAGGAAAAGAAAACAUCACCUUUCUAUUGAACAUUUAGCUGGUGUAUAACUCAGUGUGAUUUUUAUUUUAGAAGACUGUAUUGUUAACAAUAGCUUGUUUUUACAAUCCUCUUAUGAAACUUAAAUAAAGAUCACAGGAUAUAAACUUUUAA